GAACAUCAUCAUUUCCAAGCUUAUCCACUUUCCUUUUCCUUUGUUAUUCAACAACCAAGGAACCUAAAACGACAGUUCCUCUACCCCCGAUUUCAUCAAACCAUUUCCUCUCAUUUGGAUCGCUGGUGACUCUUAAAUUUUGAAACCCCAUCUAUCACCAUUUCCAAGAAAACCAGUAGUCAACCCUCUUACGCCAUAUCUCAACAAUGUCAAAUCCUACACUCUCCCACUAUCUCUUAAGACCACCUUAGAAAAACCCCCAAAACUCCCACAAACCCUUUUGCCCCUACCCCAUCGAAACUAGUCGUUAGAGAAGACCCCCACGAACCUUCCCCUCUCUACCUCAGCAAAGUUCGACACACCCCUAUUCAAGUAAGUGCUCCCACCCCUCCUCAAACCUUCUUUUGCUAGUAAACGAGCCAUUUUAUUGCCAUCUCUGGGCACAUACCCAAACAAAAAUUGUCUAAAACCCUUAGCUUUUGAUUUUGUAUCAUGGAUGUAAGCACCUACAAUCGAUUCAUCUUACCUGGAGUAAUUAAGCUUUCAAAUCAACUUCAAGGCAUCACCUUCCAAGGACACCUCCUAUAUCCCAAGAUCCAACCCCAAGUUUACUACCUGGAGACAUGUAAGGGCCUCCGCUGCAAACCCCGAAGGUAUGUGCCAAUUUAGCAUUGCUUGUGAACCAAUAACAUGACCCUAACAGUAAAAAUCUUUGACUACUACCCCUAUAUAAGACCUCCUAGACUGUUCAUGAAAGACUAAACCAAAAUUUAUUUUUAAAAAAUGUACAUCCAGAGGCCUCCAUCUCUCAACCCCAAUCUGUCAAACAAGUAAUUUUUCUUGCACCGCAUACAAUUCUUUGAGAUAGGACUACACCUUGUGCACUAUAUUCUGGAUUGAGAAAAUUACGCCAUCAUGAACCCUUCUGUUUCUCACAUUCCAUAUAAAUCACAUUGAGCACACUACUUUCCUGCAUAUGUUCAUAGGAGGCACUACAAAAAUAUGCAUUAACCAAUCUUGCAAAGAUACAUAUGAGAAUUCAUUAUGCUAUGUCAUGGUCUAAUUACAUAAGCUCAAUUAAAAAAUGUUAAAUACGAAUAUACUUUUGACGUAUAAGAAUCUAAACUUUUAACAUCGAAUCAAAUUAUUAUUUUUACAUAAUAUUUUAGUGUAUCUAAUAAAAAAUUAAUGUUCCGCAAUUAUACCUAUAUUUUGAUUUAAUUCAUUUUGCUAAUCUAUAAUAUUUUGACAUUAUUUUUAAUCUAAUGUUUAUGUACUUCAACACACCCUUUUAAUGGUGUUUCUAUUGAUGCUACACAGUUGCCUUUAUUGUUCACUUUGUACAGCAAAUAUAUACAUGCAUUUUUUCUACUUUUGGAAAAAAACCAUUUUUGAUGAUCCAAAUAAGAUCUCUAAAAUAGAAAAAAAAUGUUGGAAAAAUUGUAAUUUUUGGAAACUUUGAGGCAUAUUCUUGAUUGGUAAAGGUGAAGAGUUGAAUCAUAAAAUUAUGGUUUUAUAAUAUACUCUAUGAGACCUUUACAACGGUAUAUCAUAUGCUCAAAAUGGUUGAGUGAUGAAUGAGAAAUUGAUGCUCAAAAUAAACUACUUGUGAAUAUUUGUUGAGGAAAAGGAAAUCUUAGAUCUUACAUUGGUUAAAUGCCAAGUAUGAGAUAUGUAUAUAUAUGAUAUCCCACUUGAAGGGUUAUUGAAUGACUAAGCUUGAAACCCUGCCUCGCGUGCAAGGCCGGUAUAGAUCCAAACCCAUCCGGGUUGAGGCACACCCGCACGACGUGGACAAUACGAAAUGUCUGAACCGAUCGGGCCAAAGAAGGGCCUGCGAAUAUUUUAAGCCCAACACGAAAUUUAUUUCUCUCAGCAAAUAUUAUACAGAAUUUGUUUUUAAAGGACAUAUAUCUUGAUUUGAUUUGAUUCCAAUCAAUUUGAUUUAAUUUUAUUCAAGUUGAUUUAAAGGCUCCUUUAAUGCAGAUUUGUAUAUUUAUUCAUGUAAAUUUCUAAAAUUCUAUCAUAUUGAAUGCCUAUAAAAGCCUAAAGAACUCUACAGGAUUUUAUGACACAUAGCUACAACAAAUUUAUUUCACUCUCAAAAUUCUUUUCUCUUUUCUGUCCAUAUUUUUCAACAUUUCAGUGAUAGAAGAAGGUAAGGUUUGUUCGUUGAUAAUUGCAAAUGUACUAUUGUUGCGAUCAUUUUGUUGUUGUAUCCGAGGAGACAGUCAACCAACGUUUCUUUAAGUACCAUAGGAGCGGCCGAAUCUAUCUUAAGAAAAUUGUGAAAAUAAGCCUCA
rnacentral:lncRNA from 1 species